CGGCUCCAGCACCCGUUUAAGUCCUCAGUUUUACCGUAAGGACCCAGAUUCAUCUACAGGGCCAGAGUGUGACCUCAAGAGGGUGGUGUCAGCUCAAAGGCCACUCAGCUGCUCCUGUCUUUGCUGGAAUGGAAAGAGAUCUUGUUGUAAGAGGAGCGUUGGAUGAACCAGCCCCAACCCAGGGUCUAGAGUUUGAGGAGUGACAAGGGCAGAUCUCUAAGGAAGCGAAACUCCUCUGAGACCCGACAGGGAACCAGCUUCCUCGAGGAACCUGAGUGAAAGGUCAGAUUGGGGGAACAUCUCAGGGAGGGACCAGCAUGUGCAAAGGUCCUGGGGUGUUGUAGAGCCUGCUCUGUCGAAGGAAGGAAGAGGCUAAAAGUGCCAUGGUGGAGUAUGGUAGGAGGUGGGUCCUGCUCUAAAGGCUCGGAUGCAGGGCAUUAGGAUGUGUGGGGACACAGGGGCUGCUGAAGGGGUCUCUGGGGUCUGGACUAGGGAUUUAUUUCUAGCUGUAUGCUUCUGUGGGGACUCAGAGAUACUUAGCUUGUCUCUGCAAAUGACUUUCUGGUCACUGUUGUGUCCCUGCGUGAUGCUGAAAAUAUUAAAGUUGUUGGGGGAGGGGAGAAAAACAGAGAGGACCUGUCACCUGAGCCUCCUCAGGUCAUCCAUCGUCCUCGAAGGAUCCAUCCUGAGGCAUCAACUGAAAAUUAUGGCUCCUGAGAAAGAAUAAAGCACACUGUUCACUGCCAGGAUGAGUGUCCCUGUGGCAGCAUCUAGAGCUUGCCUGUUGCUCCUGCUAACGACCUCUGUCCCCCGUGUGGCCCUUUCUUUCUGUCACUUCUGUAGCUGUACUGUUGACAACUCUUCUCUAGGUGUCUCUGAAGCCCUGAAAGGCCUCUCAGCUUGGCAUGGCCCCCCGCCCCGCCCCAGCUCGCUCUCUUGAUGCCCAUGUGUGUGACUUGACAGCAUUCCUGCCUUGCUGGCCCACUGCCCCACUCCAAGGAAGGACGCUCUCAAGGUCCAGGUCCCUGGCAGGUAAACAGCAAAGUUUCAGAUUCACAGACAUCCUCUCCCUCCUGCACCAACUGCCCACCAGGAAAGUGGGAGCUUGGCGCUGCUUGCAAAGGACUAGGUGAUGUAUGAGCCUGUCUGCGGGCGCCAGGUCCUGAUCUGUGUCCCUGUGAAUAAGAAGCCACUUAAGAGUGUCAGGCAAUCAGGGACUGCCCCUCCUCCUGCCUUCGACCUUGCCUCAGCUUUUGUGGAGUCUGUGGGGUGAUGUGAUAGAGGCUGUGUAGUCAGAUCAGCACCACAGAGGGAGAACAUGGAGAUGGUGUGGUCUCUCCUCCCCAACAGCGUAUUCUGUGUUGCUAGUGUGAGUGCUGCCCAGGGACCCACGAGAUCAGUGUUGACCAAUAGAACUGGGUGAAGGACGUGGGAAUUUGGGUCAGAGACUUGUCAGGGCAACAUCAGUGGAAUGAGAACCCUGCUGAGCACAUGGGGCAGCUGUUUCCGUGGGACCUGCUGUCCUGACCUGGGAGUGCCAUGCUGGGGACAUGCUGAGGACCACAGGUGAUUUGAUGAAGGUAGUACUGUGUACCUUGCAAACACACCUCCAGUUAGUUACUCUCAGACGCUGCAGAUUUUCAAUUUUCUAGUAAAAGGAUUUCAUCAUAAAAGAGCUAGCCCCAGAAGUACCACCUUGUGACCUUUCAGAUAGAAUUUAGAGGGUUUAGAGAUGGCCCCAGGGAACUGCCUUUUCUGUACAAAGAUCCAGCUGUGUCCUGCCUCUCCACUCUAGAGGCAGCUGAGCAUUCAAAGAUCUCUGUGAGGCAGAGAUGGGACCGUCCCCCCAAGCCCCCAUCACGAUCUACUUCUUAUUGAUGAAGCUGACGAUUUCUCUCUGUUUCUCCCUCUACAUGUAGGAGGUGCAGGAGUGGCCUCCAGGGGCACAGCCCACCUCCACUGACCCCCUGGCUCCCUGAGGCAGAGACACGGGUGCAGAGCUGGCCUAUCACAUGCUCUUUCCUGGUACCCUGAGUUUUUGGGUGAAUGAAGAAAAGGAGGGAGGAGAGAGAGGGUGGU
rnacentral:lncRNA from 1 species